GACGAACGCUGGCGGCGUGCCUAAUACAUGCAAGUCGAACGCAUUUUCGCACGGGUGAGUAACACGUAGGUAACUGCCUCCUUGCGGUGGCUACCUAUUGGAAACGAUAGCUCAUACCGCAUACUGUGAGCUGGACCUGCGUUGUAUUAGGUAGUUGGUGAGGUAAAGGCUCACAAAGGCGACGAUCCAUAGCCGACCUGAGAGGGGGAGCGGACAAACUGGGACUGAGACACGGCCCAGACUCCUACGGGAGGCAGCAGUAGGGAAUAUUAGGCAAUGGACGGAAGGCUGACCGAGCAACGCCGCGUGAGUGAAGAAGGUGUUCGGAUCGUAAAGCUCUGUUGUUAGAGAAGCGGUAACUAAACAGAAAGGGACGGCUAACUACGUGCCAGCAGCCGCGGUAAUAC
rnacentral:rRNA from 1 species